CAGAGACCAUACUGAGUUUGUUUAGGCAAUUAAAAAAUUAGUGGUUAAUUGCUGAGGCAGGUCCAGGUAAUUUUUAUUAUUCUGGAUGCUGAUAAAUUGUAGGACUGACGAAUGGAGAUCGCGGUCUGAGUUCGAAGGCAUUUAAAAAAUUAGUGGUUAAUUGCUGAGGCAGGUCCAGGUAAUUUUUAUUAUUCUGGAUGCUGAUAAAUUGUAGGACUGACGAAUGGAGAUCGCGGUCUGAGUUCGAAGGCAUUUAAAAAAUUAGUGGUUAAUUGCUGAGGCAGGUCCAGGUAAUUUUUAUUAUUCUGGAUGCUGAUAAAUUGUAGGACUGACGAAUGGAGAUCGCGGUCUGAGUAAACAGCUGUAUAUUUAGGGCAAGUUAGGGACAGCUCCAUUGUUACAAUUGGAGAAUUACGUGACGUCACACGGUCCAUAAGGGAGUAUAUUGGACGGUGAGUAUGAUAAAAACAUGGUGAACUGUAAGGUGGACGGAACGCCUGAAGGCAAGAAAACGGUUGAAAUACCGUCUGGUGGUAAGUAGGAAAGAAAGGAAGGCGAAUGCAUUGCGCAGAGAGAGAAAAGGGCGAAUGCACUGCGCAGAGGGGAAGUAAAGCGAGAAAAUAAGGUCUUAAGAAUAAAUUGUAAGAAUAAGACAAUAGUUUGAAAUAUAAAAAGAAAAAACUAAGUGUAUUCAAUUCGAGCUAUAAUAAUAAUAUAAUAAUAAUAAUAAUACAUUUUAUUUGUGGGGUCUUUCUAUGAACUCAAGGACACCUUACAACAAGCAGUUAAAAUCACGAAUACAAUGUUAAGAUCAACAUCAAAUAAAAUAAGAAAAAAAUACAACAACAGAAAGAAUAAUGGCUCUAUGGUCCGAGUGAAUAGGCUUGUCCAAACAGAUGUGUUUUGAGGCGGAAUUUAAAAUGUGUUAAUGAGUCUGUAUUACGAAGGUCAGCGGGGAGUGUGUUCCAGAGCUGGGGAGCAGAUCGACUGAAGGCUCUGUUUCCCAUGGUGACAAGACGAGCAGGGGAGGCAGAGAAAAGAAGAGAGGAGUAGGAACGAAAAGAGCGGACAAGUGUAGGAAUGUGGAUGAGGUCAGAUAGGUAUGGAGGGGCUAGGUUAUGGAUGGCUUUGAAUGUGAGGAGUGAGAAAAGAGCGGAGCCGGUGGAUGUUUCUAAGAUGAUAAUAUGAUGUGGUUGAUAUGCGAGGGGAAAAGAGAGGGUCAAGUUGACAAGUAGAGGUUCUUCUAUAUAUUGCAUUUCAUGGGCAGUUUGACCACUGCCUUCGACAUUGGAAAAAGAAAAAAAAGAA